rnacentral:rRNA from 1 species
GACGAACCGUGCAAACGUUGUUCGGAAUCACUGGGCUUAAAGGGCGCGUAGGCGGGCGGUCAAGUCAGGGGUGAAAUCUUUCGGCUCAACCGGAAAAGUGCCCUUGAUACUGACUGUCUGGAGGGAGAUAGAGGUGAGCGGAACUUAGGGUGGAGCGGUGAAAUGCGUUGAUAUCCUAAGGAACACCGGUGGCGAAAGCGGCUCACUGGAUCUCUUCUGACGCUGAGGCACGAAAGCUAGGGUAGCGAACGGG